AAUAUUGGACAAUGGGGGGAACCCUGAUCCAGCCAUUCCGCGUGUGUGAAGAAGGUCUUCGGAUUGUAAAGCACUUUAAGUUGGUUGGAUGAGUUGUAGUCUAUUACUUUGCAAUUUUGAUGUUACUAAUAUCAUAAGCUCUGUCUAACUUCGUGCCUGCAGCCGCGGUAAUACGAAGGGUGCAAGCGUUAAUCGGAAUUACUGGGCGUAAAGCGCGCGUAGGUGGGUCGAUAAGUUGGAAGUGAAAGCCCCGGGCUUAACCUGGGAAAUGAUUUCAAAAAUGACGAGCUAGAGUAAGGUAGAGGGUAGUGGAAUUUCCUGUGUAGAGGUAAAAUGCGUAGAUAUAGGAAAGAACAUCAGUGGAGAAGGCGACUACCUGGACUGAUACUGACACUGAGGUGCGAAAGCGUGGGGAGCAAACA
rnacentral:rRNA from 1 species